CACUCUUUUAGUGCUAAUUAAUCAAAACAAUACAAAAUGGCUUCCCAAACUUUUGAUUUUUAUCAAAAAUAUACUAAUUUUUUGUUGUUAAAUAGCAUUGAUGCAGAAAAUGGGUCAUGUAAAAUCUGGACAGGGGCCAUUCAGAGGAAAAGAAAUUAUAUUUUAGGGAUGCUAAAUGUGGCUUAUCCAAAUGGGAAAAGGACAAAAAUGAAUGUUGCACGCUUGGCAAAAAUGUUACAGUUAAAAACAGUUGACAUUGAUAGAAAUUUAGAUGCCUCGCACCUCUGCCAUAAUGCCUUGUGCGUUAAUGCUGACCAUAUAAUUUUUGAGCCCCAUGAUUUAAAUAACCACCGUAAGGUCUGUGUAACUUCACAAAAAUGCACCACUCAUGAACUGCAUGGCACAACAUAUCCUAACUGCAUGUUGCAUCUUAAACUGUGGUUUGUUCUAUUUUUAAUUCUAAAAUUUAAGUCUCCGAGGUAACAUAUUGCACACUUCACUAUACAUGAAUCAUUUACUCAAAUACAAGUUUCUUACACUGCUAAAAAAAUGAAAAUGGGAUAAAAGCCCUCCCUCUCACCCUCCAAGACACUGAAACAAACAUGCAUGUUUAUAUUAACCUGAGGUAACACAUUUUACGGCUUGUUUCACGAGUGUUUACCUUUUAUUGACAUAGGAGGGGGAAUAACUCUUGUUGUUUACAAAUGUAUUUUUAACUGUGUCAGGAAAUUGGGACAUUCAAACCACAUGAACCAACUAAAGACUAAAAUAUGGCUAAAACUUCACAGAAUUGUUCAGAAAUGUGUACUAAAGGGAUACAAACUGCAAUAUAAGUGGAAUCUGACAUUAGCUGAUCUAAUAUGGGUCAAUAUCCCUAAUGGACCUUGAGAUGAGGAACACAGAUUUAUGACUCUCAUUAAAAAAUUAGUCCGCCAUACAAUUGUGGAAGCUGUGAUUUUAAAAAUUGACAUAAAUGAACUAGGACUGGUGUUUUAUAGCGCUGAUGUGAUGUGAAAAAAAGUAUAAAAAAAUAAACCUGAACAAAUAAUUACAAAGGAUAUAUUUUUUAAUGAUUUUUAUGGUCAGAAUUUUGUGAUUAUUUCCUGAGGAGAGUGACAUUUUUCACUAUCUUUCGGGGUUGGGCACUUGACGGGAAAACGAAUCACACUUGCCACCCCGAAAAUCGCACCACACAUGUGCAAGUGUCUCAGCUUCAAAAUGAGCCAUCAUACAUAUCCAAGUUUACGAUAUGGCCUGAGCAACAGAAGAAAACGUUAACAUUACCGCCUAUGGAGAAUCUAUUACGCAUAUUGCCCCAAAUUGUGGCCUUGAAUUUCAAAGGUGAUGGAGUGUUUCAUGGCUCAGUGACCACAAUUUAGGAUGAUAGCUGCUGAAAUCAAGAUAUGGCUAAAACUUCACAGAAUUGUUCAGAAAUGUGUACUAAAGGGAUACAAACUGCAAUAUAAGUGGAAUCUGACAUUAGCUGAUCUAAUAUGGGUCAAUAUCCCUAAUGGACCUUGAGAUGAGGAACACAGAUUUAUGACUCUCAUUAAAAAAUUAGUCCGCCAUACAAUUGUGGAAGCUGUGAUUUUAAAAAUUGACAUAAAUGAACUAGGACUGGUGUUUUAUAGCGCUGAUGUGAUGUGAAAAAAAGUAUAAAAAAAUAAACCUGAACAAAUAAUUACAAAGGAUAUAUUUUUUAAUGAUUUUUAUGGUCAGAAUUUUGUGAUUAUUUCCUGAGGAGAGUGACAUUUUUCACUAUCUUUCGGGGUUGGGCACUUGACGGGAAAACGAAUCACACUUGCCACCCCGAAAAUCGCACCACACAUGUGCAAGUGUCUCAGCUUCAAAAUGAGCCAUCAUACAUAUCCAAGUUUACGAUAUGGCCUGAGCAACAGAAGAAAACGUUAACAUUACCGCCUAUGGAGAAUCUAUUACGCAUAUUGCCCCAAAUUGUGGCCUUGAAUUUCAAAGGUGAUGGAGUGUUUCAUGGCUCAGUGACCACAAUUUAGGAUGAUAGCUGCUGAAAUCAAGAUAUGGCUAAAACUUCACAGAAUUGUUCAGAAAUGUGUACUAAAGGGAUACAAACUGCAAUAUAAGUGGAAUCUGACAUUAGCUGAUCUAAUAUGGGUCAAUAUCCCUAAUGGACCUUGAGAUGAGGAACACAGAUUUAUGACUCUCAUUAAAAAAUUAGUCCGCCAUACAAUUGUGGAAGCUGUGAUUUUAAAAAUUGACAUAAAUGAACUAGGACUGGUGUUUUAUAGCGCUGAUGUGAUGUGAAAAAAAGUAUAAAAAAAUAAACCUGAACAAAUAAUUACAAAGGAUAUAUUUUUUAAUGAUUUUUAUGGUCAGAAUUUUGUGAUUAUUUCCUGAGGAGAGUGACAUUUUUCACUAUCUUUCGGGGUUGGGCACUUGACGGGAAAACGAAUCACACUUGCCACCCCGAAAAUCGCACCACACAUGUGCAAGUGUCUCAGCUUCAAAAUGAGCCAUCAUACAUAUCCAAGUUUACGAUAUGGCCUGAGCAACAGAAGAAAACGUUAACAUUACCGCCUAUGGAGAAUCUAUUACGCAUAUUGCCCCAAAUUGUGGCCUUGAAUUUCAAAGGUGAUGGAGUGUUUCAUGGCUCAGUGACCACAAUUUAGGAUGAUAGCUGCUGAAAUCAAGAUAUGGCUAAAACUUCACAGAAUUGUUCAGAAAUGUGUACUAAAGGGAUACAAACUGCAAUAUAAGUGGAAUCUGACAUUAGCUGAUCUAAUAUGGGUCAAUAUCCCUAAUGGACCUUGAGAUGAGGAACACAGAUUUAUGACUCUCAUUAAAAAAUUAGUCCGCCAUACAAUUGUGGAAGCUGUGAUUUUAAAAAUUGACAUAAAUGAACUAGGACUGGUGUUUUAUAGCGCUGAUGUGAUGUGAAAAAAAGUAUAAAAAAAUAAACCUGAACAAAUAAUUACAAAGGAUAUAUUUUUUAAUGAUUUUUAUGGUCAGAAUUUUGUGAUUAUUUCCUGAGGAGAGUGACAUUUUUCACUAUCUUUCGGGGUUGGGCACUUGACGGGAAAACGAAUCACACUUGCCACCCCGAAAAUCGCACCACACAUGUGCAAGUGUCUCAGCUUCAAAAUGAGCCAUCAUACAUAUCCAAGUUUACGAUAUGGCCUGAGCAACAGAAGAAAACGUUAACAUUACCGCCUAUGGAGAAUCUAUUACGCAUAUUGCCCCAAAUUGUGGCCUUGAAUUUCAAAGGUGAUGGAGUGUUUCAUGGCUCAGUGACCACAAUUUAGGAUGAUAGCUGCUGAAAUCAAGAUAUGGCUAAAACUUCACAGAAUUGUUCAGAAAUGUGUACUAAAGGGAUACAAACUGCAAUAUAAGUGGAAUCUGACAUUAGCUGAUCUAAUAUGGGUCAAUAUCCCUAAUGGACCUUGAGAUGAGGAACACAGAUUUAUGACUCUCAUUAAAAAAUUAGUCCGCCAUACAAUUGUGGAAGCUGUGAUUUUAAAAAUUGACAUAAAUGAACUAGGACUGGUGUUUUAUAGCGCUGAUGUGAUGUGAAAAAAAGUAUAAAAAAAUAAACCUGAACAAAUAAUUACAAAGGAUAUAUUUUUUAAUGAUUUUUAUGGUCAGAAUUUUGUGAUUAUUUCCUGAGGAGAGUGACAUUUUUCACUAUCUUUCGGGGUUGGGCACUUGACGGGAAAACGAAUCACACUUGCCACCCCGAAAAUCGCACCACACAUGUGCAAGUGUCUCAGCUUCAAAAUGAGCCAUCAUACAUAUCCAAGUUUACGAUAUGGCCUGAGCAACAGAAGAAAACGUUAACAUUACCGCCUAUGGAGAAUCUAUUACGCAUAUUGCCCCAAAUUGUGGCCUUGAAUUUCAAAGGUGAUGGAGUGUUUCAUGGCUCAGUGACCACAAUUUAGGAUGAUAGCUGCUGAAAUCAAGAUAUGGCUAAAACUUCACAGAAUUGUUCAGAAAUGUGUACUAAAGGGAUACAAACUGCAAUAUAAGUGGAAUCUGACAUUAGCUGAUCUAAUAUGGGUCAAUAUCCCUAAUGGACCUUGAGAUGAGGAACACAGAUUUAUGACUCUCAUUAAAAAAUUAGUCCGCCAUACAAUUGUGGAAGCUGUGAUUUUAAAAAUUGACAUAAAUGAACUAGGACUGGUGUUUUAUAGCGCUGAUGUGAUGUGAAAAAAAGUAUAAAAAAAUAAACCUGAACAAAUAAUUACAAA